UACGUAGGCAGCGAGCGUUGUUCGGAAUUACUGGGCGUAAAGAGUGUGUAGGCGGUGCUCUAAGUUCGGUGUGAAAUCUCCCGCUUAACUGGGAGGGUGCGCCGGAAACUGGAGUGCUCGAGCGUGGGGAGAGGAAAGCGGAAUUCCUGGUGUAGCGGUGAAAUGCGCAGAUAUCGGGAAGAACACCCGUGGCGAAGGCGGCUCUCUGGGGACGGUACUGACGCUGAGACGGCGAAAAGCGUGGGGGAGCGAAACAGGG
rnacentral:rRNA from 1 species